rnacentral:rRNA from 1 species
AUGGCUCAGGAUGAACGCUAGCUACAGGCUUAACACAUGCAAGUCAGGGGCAGCAUGUGGUGCUGCAACCAAUGAUGGCGACCGGCGCACGGGUGAGUAACGCGUAUCCAACCUUCCCCUUAGUAGAGGAUAGCCCGGCGAAAGUCGGAUUAAUACUCUAUGUUCUUCAAUGCGGGCAUCUAAGUUGAAGCAAAGAUUUAUCGCUAAGGGAUGGGGAUGCGUCUGAUUAGGUUGCAGGCGGGGUAACGGCCCACCUGGCCUACGAUCAGUAGGGGUUCUGAGAGGAAGGUCCCCCACACUGGUACUGAGACACGGACCAGACUCCUACGGGAGGCAGCAGUGAGGAAUAUUGGUCAAUGGGCGCGAGCCUGAACCAGCCAAGUAGCGUGCAAGGACGACUGCCCUAUGGGUUGUAAACUGCUUUUAUCAGGGAAUAAAGUGAGGCACGCGUGCCUUUUUGUAUGUACCUGAUGAAUAAGGACCGGCUAAUUCCGUGCCAGCCGCCGC